rnacentral:rRNA from 1 species
AACGAACGCUGGCGGCAUGCUUUACACAUGCAAGUCGAACGGUAACAGGGUGCUUGCACCGCUGACGAGUGGCGAACGGGUGAGUAAUGCGUCGGAACGUGCCGAGUAGUGGGGGAUAACGCAGCGAAAGUUGUGCUAAUACCGCAUACGUACUGAGGUAGAAAGUGGGGGGACCUUCGGGCCUCACGCUAUUCGAGCGGCCGACGUCUGAUUAGCUAGUAGGUGAGGUAAAGGCUCACCUAGGCGACGAUCAGUAGCGGGUCUGAGAGGAUGAUCCGCCACACUGGGACUGAGACACGGCCCAGACUCCUACGGGAGGCAGCAGUGGGGAAUUUUGGACAAUGGGCGAAAGCCUGAUCCAGCCAUGCCGCGUGUCUGAAGAAGGCCUUCGGGUUGUAAAGGACUUUUGUCAGGGAGGAAAUCCCUAGUGCUAAUACCGCUGGGGGAUGACAGUACCUGAAGAAUAAGCACCGGCUAACUACGUGCCAGCCGCCGCAGUAAUAC